CGUGAUGAUGCAGACGGACGCCAACGACGAGCCACAUCCGGGCACUUCUGCAAGUUACACGUCCACAUGGCUAACGUUUUGGAUUCGUAGGAGCUUCCGGCCAUUUCUUCUUGUGGAGUUCUGAAGGAUCGUCUCUCGUCCUCAGAGUUGCAGUCGAGACUUUAACGCCUCCGUUAAAUCCUUUUGAAUUGCGAUGAAAGGGAAAAUAACAGCACUGGGAGUAGCUUGUCACUUUCAGAUUAGUUGUCCGCCUUAAAUUCUUAAAGUAUUGUUUAAUGUUGCAGUAUCUCCCCAACGUCACCGACUAUAAAUAUCUUGUAUAAGCCGUUCAUAUUUGUGUCACUUGGUAAAUGCGUGUUAUGUCAUGAUCACAAGUUAAUCAUCUUCUUGAUCUCAAAAUAUCAAAGCUUGUUUGAAUGAGAUUAAUUCACUUCUGAUCUCGAGAUAAUGGCAUCAAACAAAUAAGUGUUAACGCGGCCUUCUCGGCUUCCGUAGGGAUGAUCCAAGAAUCUGCUGUUUUGAAGGCGUGAGGCACAAGGAAGAAAAUAAGUACACCCACAUGUCACAUUUUAUUCAGAACUAAUGUGCAGGAGCUUGAAGGAUUAGAUAGCACUUAGAUAGCACUUACUUAUGGUACUUUUGUAGUUCGACUAUGUUGAGGAAAUGUUACUUCCUGUAUUCUUGUUGUUCUUAGUUUGUACUCUAGGUUGAAAUGCACUUAUUGUAAGUCGCUUUGGAUAAAAGCGUCUGCUAAAUGACAUGUAAUGUAAUGUAAUUAUAUCUAUAGAACUGCAUGGUGAUUAUAGUAAAGUUGUCUUUUUGUGGGAGAGAUUA